GGGUCAGUAGGUUGGUCGUGCCACCGGUACGUACUGGUCUCACUGAUUCCUCCUUCCUGAAGAACCGUAAUUCAAUUAAUUUGGUGUUGCGGGGAAACAGGACUGUUACUUUGAAAAAAUUAGAGUGUUUAAAGCAAGCUAACGCUUGAAUACAUUAGCAUGGAAUAAUGAAAUAGUACUAUCGAUCCUAUUUUGUUGGUUUCUAGGAUUGACGUA
rnacentral:rRNA from 1 species